GACGUAGGUGGCGAACGUUAUCCGGAAUUAUUGGGCGUAAAGGGUGCGUAGGCGGCAUAAUAAGUUAUUGGCGGGAAAUCGAGGCUCAACCUCGUGGAAACUGAUAAUACUGUUUUGCUUGAGUACAGGAGAGGUUAACGGAACUCCAUGUGGAGCGGUAAAAUGUGUAGAUAUAUGGAAGAACAUCAAUAACGGCGAAGGCAGUUAACUAUUCUGUUACUGACGUUGAGGCACGAAAGCGUGGGGAGCAAAAGGAGUUAGA
rnacentral:rRNA from 1 species